GUAACCUGCCCUUGACUCUGGGAUAAGCCUGGGAAACUGGGUCUAAUACUGGAUACGACUCUUCACCGCAUGGUGGGGGGUGGAAAGCUUUUGUGGUUUUGGAUGGACUCGCGGCCUAUCAGCUUGUUGGUGGGGUAAUGGCCUACCAAGGCGACGACGGGUAGCCGGCCUGAGAGGGUGGACGGCCACACUGGGACUGAGACACGGCCCAGACUCCUACGGGAGGCAGCAGUGGGGAAUAUUGCACAAUGGGCGCAAGCCUGAUGCAGCGACGCCGCGUGAGGGAUGAAGGCCUUCGGGUUGUAAACCUCUUUCAGUAGGGAAGAAGCGAAAGUGACGGUACCUGCAGAAGAAGCGCCGGCUAACUACGUGCCAGCAGCCGCGGUAAUACGUAGGGCGCAAGCGUUAUCCGGAAUUAUUGGGCGUAAAGAGCUCGUAGGCGGUUUGUCGCGUCUGCCGUGAAAGUCCGGGGCUUAACUCCGGAUCUGCGGUGGGUACGGGCAGACUUGAGUGAUGUAGGGGAGACUGGAAUUCCUGGUGUAGCGGUGAAAUGCGCAGAUAUCAGGAGGAACACCGAUGGCGAAGGCAGGUCUCUGGGCAUUAACUGACGCUGAGGAGCGAAAGCAUGGGGAGCGAACAGGAUUAGAUA
rnacentral:rRNA from 1 species